rnacentral:lncRNA from 1 species
CGUUCGAUGACGAAGUAUGGACGCUGUUCCACCGGAGACGCGGUGCAAGAGGACGUCUAUAAGGUGGAGAAGUUAUCAGAGUAUUGCGGAACGGUAGGCGAAAAAUGUUUGAGAAUGCAGAAGCUCUUUCGUUGACAAUGGACUGAGCCUCUUUUGAAAGCUGUCGCGAGCACCAUUGUGGUUAAUAUACUUUUGCGCGCAUGACGUCAGUGAAUGUAUACUUUAGAUAUGUUAGAGUUAUUUAUUAUCAG